AACCCAUGUUGAGGACAUUUCCACAAGAGCUCUUUGAAACUAUCCCAUGUCUCAAGACUCCAAUUCCAUUUGCACAAAAGAAGAUAUUUCAUUCCUAAGCUU